ensembl:snRNA U6 U6 spliceosomal RNA
GUGCUUGCUUCAGCAGCACAUAUUCUAAAAUUGGAACGAUACAGAGAAGAUUAGCAUGGCCCCAGUGCAAGAGGAUG